CACCCUCACCGGCUUCACCUCACCGGCCUCACUCACCCUCCUCACCCUCCUCGCCCUCACCGGGCUCCCCUCACCCUCACCGGGCUCCCCUCACCCUCACCGGGCUCGCUUCACCCUCACCGGCUUCACUUCACCGGCCUCACUCACCCUCCUCACCCUCACCGGGCUCACCUCACCCUCACCGGCUUCACCUCACCGGCUUCACUCACCCUCCUCACCCUCCUCACCCUCACUCACCCUCACCGGCUUCACCUCACCGGCCUCACUCACCCUCCUCACCCUCACCGGGCUCACCUCACCCUCACCGGCUUCACCUCACCGGCCUCACUCACCCUCCUCACCCUCCUCACCCUCACUCACCCUCACCGGCUUCACCUCACCGGCCUCACUCACCCUCCUCGCCCUCACCGGGCUCCCCUCACCCUCACCGGGCUCCCCUCACCCUCACCGGGCUCGCCUCACCCUCACCGGCUUCACCUCACCCUCCUCACCCUCACCGGCUUCACCUCACCCUCACCGGGCUCGCCUCACCCUCCUCACCCUCCUCACCCUCACUGGGCUCACCUCACCCUCACCUCACCCUCCUCACCCUCGCCUCACCCUCACCGGCUUCACCUCGCCGGCCUCACUUUACCCUCCUCACCCUCCUCACCCUCACCGGGCUCCCCUCACCCUCCUCACCCUCACUGGCUUCACCUCACCCUUCUCACCCUCACCGGGCUCCCCUCACUCUCCCCGGCCUCCCCUCACCCUCACUCACCCUCCCCUGCUGCCGCCUCUGGGCCGGGAUCGGGGCCCCGGAGCUGCGGAGGAGCCGCAACAGCUGAGCUGGAACCGAUCCCGACCCUAAAUUUAGCGGGGGAGGAGGAUCCCGAAAUGGCCGUGGAGGGAAUGGGAUCCCCGGGGCAGGGGCAAGUGCAGGGGUCAGCCCAGGCCACAGCGGGAUGGGGACCCUCGGGGGAACCCUGCGGUGCACUGCGGGGAUGUGGAGAUGCUUUGGACGGGAUACUGGGAUGUGCUUGUGCGGGGCUACUGGGAUCCUCUGGGGAGAUGUGA
rnacentral:lncRNA from 1 species